AGGGAUCAUUACUGAGUGAGGGCCUUCGGGCUCGACCUCCAACCCUUUGUGAACACAACUCGUUGCUUCGGGGGCGACCCUGCCGUUUCGACGGCGAGCGCCCCCGGAGACCAUCAAACACUGCAUCUUUGCGUCGGAGUUUAAGUAAAUUAAACAAAACUUUCAACAACGGAUCUCUUGGUUCUGGCAUCGAUGAAGAACGCAGCGAAAUGCGAUAAGUAAUGUGAAUUGCAGAAUUCAGUGAAUCAUCGAAUCUUUGAACGCACAUUGCGCCCUUUGGUAUUCCGAAGGGCAUGCCUGUUCGAGCGUCAUUUCACCACUCAAGCCUGGCUUGGUAUUGGGCGCCGCGGUCAAUCCGCGCGCCUCAAAGUCUCCGGCUGAGCUGUCCGUCUCUAAGCGUUGUGAUUUCAUUAAUCGCUUCGGAGUACGGGCGGCCGCGGCCGUUAAAUCUUUCACAAGGUUGACCUCGGAUCAGGUAGGGAUACCCGCUGAACUUAA
rnacentral:rRNA from 1 species